rnacentral:rRNA from 1 species
UACGUAGGGGGCAAGCGUUGUCCGGAAUCAUUGGGCGUAAAGAGCUCGUAGGCGGUUCGGUAAGUCGGGUGUGAAACCUCCAGGCUCAACCUGGAGACGCCACCCGAUACUGCUGUGACUAGAGUCCGGUAGGGGAGCGUGGAAUUCCUGGUGUAGCGGUGAAAUGCGCAGAUAUCAGGAAGAACACCAAUGGCGAAAGCAGCUCUCUGGGACGGUACUGACGCUGAGACGCGAAAGCGUGGGGAGCGAACAGG